rnacentral:tRNA from 1 species
GUGCAGCUCAGUGGUAGCGUGUGUGCUCAGCAUGUGCAAGGUCCUGGGUUCAAUCCCCAACGUACA